rnacentral:rRNA from 1 species
CCCUUAGAUGUUCUGGGCUGCACGCGUGCUACACUGAUUAUUUCAACAAGUGUUUUAACUGGAGAGUUUGCGUAAUCCUGAAAUGCUAUCGUGAUGGGAGUAGAGUAUUGUAUUUGUUAAUCUUUAACGAGGAAUUCCUAGUAAGUGUAGGUUUAUAAGUUGUUCUGAUUACGUCCCUGCCCUUUGUACACACCGCCCGUCGCUCCUACCGAUUGAUUGAUCCGGUGAAUUACAUAGAAUUUUGCGUUUUACAUGACGGAAGAUGAAGUGUUUUAAACCUUAUCAUUUAGAGGAAGGAGAAGUCGUAACA